ensembl:snRNA U6 U6 spliceosomal RNA
GUGCUCGCUUCGGCAGCACAUGUACCAAAAUUGGAACGAUUCAGAGAAGAUUAGCAUGGCCCCUGCGCAGGGAUGACCCAUUAGCAUCUCCCAUCUCU